CUUGGUCAUUUAGAGGAAGUAAAAGUCGUAACAAGGUCUCCGUUGGUGAACCAGCGGAGGGAUCAUUACAGAGUUGCAAAACUCCCUACCAUUGUGAAUCUACCUCACCGUUGCUUCGGCGGGUGGCCCACUGAACGUGGGCCGCGCAGGCUCUGUCUUCAGGGCCGGCACCCCGUCAGAAGACCUAAACUCUUUGUCCUUAUAGGCCUCUCUGAGUAACUCAUACAAUAAGUCAAAACUUUCAACAACGGAUCUCUUGGUUCUGGCAUCGAUGAAGAACGCAGCGAAAUGCGAUACGUAAUGUGAAUUGCAGAUUUCAGUGAAUCAUCGAAUCUUUGAACGCACAUUGCGCCCGCUAGUAUUCUGGCGGGCAUGCCUGUUCGAGCGUCAUUUCAACCAUCAAGCCUCUGUGCUUGUGUUGGAGCCCUGCGGCUGCCGCAGGCUCUCAAAUUCAGUGGCGGGCUCGUCGUCGUACCGAGUGCAGUAAAUUUACCACGCUCAGGGCACGCGACGGGUGACCAGCCGUAAAAACCCCCUAUAUUUUCAGGUUGACCUCGGAUCAGGUAGGAAUACCCGCUGAACUUAAGCAUAUCAAUAAGCGGAGGA
rnacentral:rRNA from 1 species